AGAACGAACGCUGGCGGCAGGCCUAACACAUGCAAGUCGAGCGGAGCCCAUCCCGUGGCAACACGGGUGAAGGCUUAGCGGCGAACGGGUGAGUAACACGUGAGGAACCUGCCCCGAAGACCGGGAUAACCCUCCGAAAGGAGAGCUAAUACCGGAUACCCUCCCUUGGUCGCAUGGCCGAGAGAGGAAAUGGAUUCCGCUUCGGGAGGGCCUCGCGGCCUAUCAGCUUGUUGGUGAGGUAACGGCUCACCAAGGCGUCGACGGGUAGCUGGUCUGAGAGGACGAUCAGCCACACUGGGACUGAGACACGGCCCAGACUCCUACGGGAGGCAGCAGUGGGGAAUCUUGCGCAAUGGGCGAAAGCCUGACGCAGCAACGCCGCGUGGGGGAUGAAGGCUUUCGGGUUGUAAACCCCUUUCAGCAGGGACGAUUGUGACGGUACCUGCAGAAGAGCCCGGCAACUACGUGCCAGCAGCCGC
rnacentral:rRNA from 1 species